AUUGAACGCUGGCGGCAGGCCUAACACAUGCAAGUCGAGCGAGCGGCUGACGGGUGAGUCAUGUAUGGGGACUGCCCGCUAGAGGGGGAUAACUAAUGGAAACGGUGGCUAAUACCGCAUCCUAUCGGAUAACCCAUAUGGGAUUAGCUCGUAGGUGGGGUAAAGGCUCACCUAGCCGACGAUCUCUCGCUGGUCUGCGAUGAUGAUCAGCAACAGUGUGACUGCGACACGGCCCUGACUCCUACGGAGGCAGCAGUGGGGAAUAUUGCACAAUGGGCGCAAGCCUGAGGCAGCCAUGCCGCGUGUAUGAAGAAGGCCUUAGGGUUGUAAAGUACUUUCAGCGGGGAGGCGUUACCCGCAGAAGAAGCACCGGCUAACUCCGUGGCAGAAGCCGCGGUAAUAC
rnacentral:rRNA from 1 species